rnacentral:rRNA from 1 species
UACGUAGGGGGCAAGCGUUGUCCGGAUUUAUUGGGCGUAAAGAGCGUGUAGGCGGUCUGGUAGGUCCGUUGUGAAAACUCGAGGCUCAACCUCGAGACGCCGAUGGAAACCAUCAGACUAGAGUCCGGAAGAGGAGAGUGGAAUUCCUGGUGUAGCGGUGAAAUGCGCAGAUAUCAGGAAGAACACCCGUGGCUAAGCGGCUCUCUAGUACGGUACUGACGCUGAGACGCGAAAGCGUGGGGAGCGAACAGG